rnacentral:rRNA from 1 species
GACGUAGGUGGCGAACGUUAUCCGGAAUUAUUGGGCGUAAAGGGUGCGUAGGCAGCAUAAUAAGUUAUUGGCGGUAAAUCGAGGCUCAACCUCGUGGAAACUGAUAAUACUGUUUUGCUUGAGUACAGAAGAGGUUAACGGAACUCCAUGUGGAACGGUAAAAUGUGUAGAUAUAUGGAAGAACAUCAAUAACGGCGAAGGCAGUUAACUAUUCUGUUACUGACGUUGAGGCACGAAAGCGUGGGGAGCAAAAAGG